GCUGAGGCGUGAUGACGAGGCACUACGGUGCUGAAGUGACAAAUGCCCUGCUUCCAGGAAAAGCCUCUAAGCAUCAGGUAACAUCAAAUCGUACCCCAAACCGACACAGGUGGUCAGGUAGAGAAUACCAAGGCGCUUGAGAGAACUCGGGUGAAGGAACUAGGCAAAAUGGUGCCGUAACUUCGGGAGAAGGCACGCUGAUAUGUAGGUGAAGCGACUUGCUCGUGGAGCUGAAAUCAGUCGAAGAUACCAGCUGGCUGCAACUGUUUAUUAAAAACACAGCACUGUGCAAACACGAAAGUGGACGUAUACGGUGUGACGCCUGCCCGGUGCCGGAAGGUUAAUUGAUGGGGUUAGCGGUAACGCGAAGCUCUUGAUCGAAGCCCCGGUAAACGGCGGCCGUAACUAUAACGGUCCUAAGGUAGCGAAAUUCCUUGUCGGGUAAGUUCCGACCUGCACGAAUGGCGUAAUGAUGGCCAGGCUGUCUCCACCCGAGACUCAGUGAAAUUGAACUCGCUGUGAAGAUGCAGUGUACCCGCGGCAAGACGGAAAGACCCCGUGAACCUUUACUAUAGCUUGACACUGAACAUUGAGCCUUGAUGUGUAGGAUAGGUGGGAGGCUUUGAAGUGUGGACGCCAGUCUGCAUGGAGCCGACCUUGAAAUACCACCCUUUAAUGUUUGAUGUUCUAACGUUGGCCCCUAAUCGGGGUUGCGGACAGUGUCUGGUGGGUAGUUUGACUGGGGCGGUCUCCUCCUAAAGAGUAACGGAGGAGCACGAAGGUUGGCUAAUCCUGGUCGGACAUCAGGAGGUUAGUGCAAUGGCAUAAGCCAGCUUGACUGCGAGCGUGACGGCGCGAGCAGGUGCGAAAGCAGGUCAUAGUGAUCCGGUGGUUCUGAAUGGAAGGGCCAUCGCUCAACGGAUAAAAGGUACUCCGGGGAUAACAGGCUGAUACCGCCCAAGAGUUCAUAUCGACGGCGGUGUUUGGCACCUCGAUGUCGGCUCAUCACAUCCUGGGGCUGAAGUAGGUCCCAAGGGUAUGGCUGUUCGCCAUUUAAAGUGGUACGCGAGCUGGGUUUAGAACGUCGUGAGACAGUUCGGUCCCUAUCUGCCGUGGGCGCUGGAGAACUGAGGGGGGCUGCUCCUAGUACGAGAGGACCGGAGUGGACGCAUCACUGGUGUUCGGGUUGUCAUGCCAAUGGCACUGCCCGGUAGCUAAAUGCGGAAGAGAUAAGUGCUGAAAGCAUCUAAGCACGAAACUUGCCCCGAGAUGAGUUCUCCCUGAGACUUAGAGUCUCCUGAAGGAACGUUGAAGACGACGACGUUGAUAGGCCGGGUGUGUAAGCGCAGCGAUGCGUUGAGCUAACCGGUACUAAUGAACCGUGAGGCUUAACCUU
rnacentral:rRNA from 1 species